GAGAGAGGAAGAGCGAAAAAAAAGGAAAGAGAGAAAAUAUGAAAAUAACGACGAUAAUACGAGGAGAGGCAGGAUACGUUUGUUAGCUUUGCUGUUCGUCCGGAAAACGCUGUAGGAUUCCGGGGUUCGGCCAAGGGGGUGACAGAGCGGCCAUUGUUAUUUCCGCUUACGCGAUGCUCUUUGAUCAGGCGAAAGACGUUAAGCGCCAUAACCAUAACUUAAGAGUUUAGUUCAGGUGUUAGCAUAACAAUCUAUGAAUUCCUUUGUUAAAGGAAUUGGUAAAGGAGAUCGUUUAAAAUAAGCGGAUUGGAUUGAAUUAUUAAAACGAUGAAUUAUAAAAAAAGGGAAUUGUUGCAAUUUGUUGCAAUAUUUGUGUAAAAAUGUGCAAAAAUUAUAAAUAAAAAAUAUCAAUUUUUCAGUUAAUUCAAGUUCUUCGUAUUGCGAAUGCAUCGAGGUGAAGACGUCAAAUCGUGCACGAGAAAGAAUUGUUAUUUUUAUGGGUUAUUGUUAUAGCUUAAUAUGAUUCGUAUCACGGAUAACGACAACAAUUUCAAUACAAACAAAUAUAUAUCGAAGAAUAUAUGUACGAGUAAAUAUUACAAAAAGCGAUGAUCGAUAGAGAGAUUCAAACGAAAUCCCCGUCUCGAUAUCAAUUUUAAUUAACAAAUAAUCGCGGAGGACAAGGAAUAAUUAAUCAGACCAGAUGGGUGUGCGGACACGUGUUAAACGGUCGUUCCGAAAGGACAGUUAAAGUCAAGGAUGGUCAAUUUUCGCCAACGGACGAUUUUAUCAACCCCUCGCGAGCUGCAAAUUAAUGACGAACUACCUGAUCUUGCCCCUGGAGAAUUCUCGGUGCUGCAUCGACGUUUUAUCAUCCUUCGCCGAUCGAUCCAUCGUGUCACGCAUAAAUUAUCCGUGCUAUUAAUUAAUUUGCAGGUACGCCGCUUCGCAGGGCACGUAUCGUAAUAUGUGUUAUAAUAUAAUCAAUAGGAUGGCGUGGAACAAAAGGAUAAUUCAUUAACCGUUAUCGACGGUUAAUCGAAUCGAAAGAGAGCCGAAUACAUUCGUUCCACGGCGAGAAGAAUCAAAGGCGCGGUUGGUUAAUCGAUCACGGUGAGUAAUUUUUUCAUCUC